AAUCAACGCUGGCGGCGUGCUUAACACAUGCGAGUGGAGCGACGAAUCGGACUUCGGUCCGAGGCAAAGCCGCGAACGGGUGAGUAACACGUGGGUAACCUGCCCCGAUGAUUGGGACAACCCCGGGAAACCGGGGCUAAUACCAAAUGUGCUCACGUCUCAUGAGGGACGUGAGGAAAGGAAGCUUCGGCCUCCGCAUCGGGAUGGGCCCGCGGCGCAUUCGCUUGGUGGUGAGGUAACGGCUCACCAAGGCUUCGAUGCGUAGCUGGUCUGAGAGGACACACAGCCACACUGGGACUGAGACACGGCCCAAACUCCUAAGGGAGGCAGCAGUAGGGAAUUUUCGUCGAUGGGGGGGUCCCUGAACGAGCAAUGCCGCGUUAGGGAGGAAGGUCUUCGGAUCGUAAAGCUCUGUUGUAAGCGAAGAACGGUCAUCAUAGGAAAUGAUGGUGAAGUGACGGUAGCUUACCAGAAAGCCACGGCUAACUACGUGCCAGCAGCCGCGGUAACAC
rnacentral:rRNA from 1 species